rnacentral:tRNA from 1 species
UGGCUCAGCAGUGGAGCACUUGUCUCACAUGCAUGAGAUCCUGGGUUUGAAUCCCAG